AUCAGACUAGGUCUCUUAUCUUAGGAGAAAGAUUCAUCAGACUAGGUCUUUUUGUUAUCUUAGGAGAAAGAUUCAUCAGACUAAGAUUUUGAUCCUAGUAGAAAGUUUAUCAGACUAGGUCUCUUAUCUUAGGAGAAAGAUUCGUCGGACUAAGAUUUUGAUCCUAGGAGAAAAUUCGUCAGACUAUGUCUUCUAUCUUAGGAGAAAGAUUCAUCAAACUAAGACAUCGAUCCUAGGAGAAAGUUCAUCAGACUAGGUCUCUUAUCUUAGAAGAAAAAUUCAUCAGACUAAGAUUUUGAUUGAGAGGAAAAUCCAUCAGACUAGGACUUUUAUCCUAGGAGGAAAAAUGUGAAGAGCGAUGGCAAUAUUUAGGCACACUAGCAAGGUAAGGGAAAAGAUUUAAGAAACUUUCCUUUGUUGAUUUCUCUUUUCCUUUUUCUUUUUUCUUUUCUUUCUCUUCCUUUUUUUUUCUUUCUUGUUUUUGAACCAGCUUGGUUGCACAGCUUUGUUCUUGUUUCAAACAAAGAAAACUUGUGAGUUUAAAAUGUGGUGGUUAGUUUGUGGCCUUGACCUUGAGGGCGGUUUUUCCUUCACUUGUCAAUAUAACUUUACUUUCAGCUUGGAAGACCUUGCCUUUUAUCGACUACCCAUUUUCUUUCAAACCUCACCACAGAAAACACCUCCAUUCCAUUCAAUCCCAAUAUCUUUUAUCUGUU
rnacentral:lncRNA from 1 species